AAUGAAUUGCCUGACAAAAAGGGUUACCUUGAUAGGGUAAAUUAUGUAAUAAUUUUACAUUCAUUA
rnacentral:tRNA from 1 species